CCUGAGAAACGGCUACCACAUCCAAGGAAGGCAGCAGGCGCGCAAAUUACCCACUCCCGGCACGGGGAGGUAGUGACGAAAAAUAACGAUACGGGACUCAUCCGAGGCCCCGUAAUCGGAAUGAGUACACUUUAAAUCCUUUAACGAGGAUCUAUUAGAGGGCCAGUCUGGUGCCAGCAGCCGCGGUAAUUCCAGCUCUAAUAGCGUAUAUUAAAGUUGUUGCGGUUAAAAAGCUCGUAGUUGAAUCUGUGUCCCACACUGUCGGUUCACCGCUCGCGGUGUUCAACUGGCAUGUCUGUGGGACGUCCUACCGGUGGGCUUAGCCCGUCAAAAGGCGGCCCAACUCAAAAUCCUACCACGGUGCUCUUCACCGAGUGUCGAGGUGGGCCGGUACGUUUACUUUGAACAAAUUAGAGUGCUUAAAGCAGGCUCAUUUGCCUGAAUAUUGUGUGCAUGGAAUAAUGGAAUAGGACCUCGGUUCUAUUUUGUUGGUUUUCGGAAUUCCGAGGUAAUGAUUAAUAGGGACAACUGGGGGCAUUCGUAUUGCGACGUUAGAGGUGAAAUUCUUGGAUCGUCGCAAGACGGACAGAAGCGAAAGCAUUUGCCAAAUGUGUUUUCAUCAAUCAAGAACGAAAGUUAGAGGUUCGAAGGCGAUCAGAUACCGCCCUAGUUCUAACCAUAAACGAUGCCAGCUAGCGAUCCGCCGAAGUUCCUCCGAUGACUCGGCGGGCAGCUUCCGGGAAACCAAAGCUUUUGGGUUCCGGGGGAAGUAUGGUUGCAAAGCUGAAACUUAAAGGAAUUGACGGAAGGGCACCACCAGGAGUGGAGCCUGCGGCUUAAUUUGACUCAACACGGGAAACCUCACCAGGCCCGGACACCGGAAGGAUUGACAGAUUGAGAGCUCUUUCUUGAUUCGGUGGGUGGUGGUGCAUGGCCGUUCUUAGUUGGUGGAGCGAUUUGUCUGGUUAAUUCUGAUAACGAACGAGACUCUAGCCUGCUAAAUAGGCGUACUUUCCGGUAUCUCGAAGGCCCGCCGGCUCGGCUUCGGUCGCUGUCGCGUGUGGUUUUUACUACCGGCGUACACAUAUAUCUUCUUAGAGGGACAGGUGGCAUUUAGUCGCACGAAAUUGA
rnacentral:rRNA from 1 species